rnacentral:rRNA from 1 species
CGAACGGGUGAGUAUCGCGUGGGUAACCUACCCAGAGGUGGAGGAUAGCUCCGGAAAACCGGGGGUAAUACUGCAUAUGUCCUCGAUGACACAAGUCGACGAGGGCAAAGGCGGGGCUUCUUCGGAACCUGUCGCCUUUGGAUGGGCCCGCGUCCGAUUAGCUUGUUGGUGGGGUAACGGCCCACCAAGGCUACGAUCGGUAGCCGGCCUGAGAGGGUGAACGGCCACAUUGGGACUGAGACACGGCCCAG